UACGAAGGGGGCUAGCGUUGCUCGGAAUCACUGGGCGUAAAGUGUGCGUAGGCGGGUCUUUAAGUCAGGGGUGAAAUCCUGGAGCUCAACUCCAGAACUGCCUUUGAUACUGAAGAUCUUGAGUCCGGGAGAGGUGAGUGGAACUGCGAGUGUAGAGGUGAAAUUCGUAGAUAUUCGCAAGAACACCAGUGGCGAAGGCGGCUCACUGGCCCGGUACUGACGCUGAGGCACGAAAGCGUGGGGAGCAAACAGG
rnacentral:rRNA from 1 species